AGCAGUCGCCGCGGUAAUACGAAGGGGGCUAGCGUUGUUCGGAUUUACUGGGCGUAAAGCGCACGUAGGCGGACUUUUAAGUCAGGGGCGAGAUCCCGGGGCUCAACCCCGGAACUGCCUUUGAUACUGGAAGUCUUGAGUAUGGUAGAGGUGAGUGGAAUUCCGAGUGUAGAGGUGAAAUUCGUAGAUAUUCGGAGGAACACCAGUGGCGAAGGCGGCUCACUGGACCAUUACUGACGCUGAGGUGCGAAAGCGUGGGGAGCAAACAGGAUUAGAUACCCCAGUAGUCCCUGUCUCUUAUAA
rnacentral:rRNA from 1 species